ACAAUCUUUACCGUUGGAUUGGAUUUAAUCCAAUGGACCACAUCUGACCAUACUCUCUCUCUCUCUCUCUCUCUCUCUCUCUAACGACACUUUGCUUUUCGCUUUUCCUUUAUUUUUUUUCUCCGAAACUCAUCUUCUCUCCAUAGAUUCUCACCCAAUCUCUUAAUCUUUCCAUGGAAACAUGUAAAAAAAAAAAUUCAAUCUCUCAUCAAUUUCGUCUACUUCUUUAUCAUUCCAUGAACAAAAAGCUUGGCUGGAAGAAGAAAACAGUCGAAGGUCACGACUUUAGAGGAAAACGACGAAGCUCAUGACUGGAUGAAUAAGAUGACGACGAUGAACACAAGGCCCACCACCACCAGAUCUAGCUCUGCCGAGAUGAAUCCGGCCAAUAUCUAUCUCCCUCUUCACAUCUCCUUCCGCUCCUCCCUACUCCAAUGAACCACGCCGUGUCUGCAUCUAUCGGACUCGCACCUUCGAGAAACGAAAAGCAGGAUCUGAAGAAGCAGUGGUGUGGUGUGGAGAUGUCAAAGGAAGGUAGCGGUGGUGGUGGUAGUGGAGCCGAGCAAGAAGAAGAAGAAGAAGAAGAAGAGAAAGGCAGAGAAGACAGAGAUGCGAGGAGGAUGGAGUCGGAAGAUCACGACGGCGGCGUAAAUUAGGUUUAGGUUUUGGUUUAUUAGGUUUGGUUUAGUUAGGUAUUGGUUUAAUAUGUUUUAGUUUUUGGUUUAAUGUAUUCUGGUUUAUUAAUUUUUUUUUAUCCUGGUUUAGUUUUAUACUUAAUUGUAAUCUAAUUUUAAUUAAUAAAUAAAAUUUCAUUUUUAAUUAAAA